rnacentral:rRNA from 1 species
CCCUUAGAUGUUCUGGGCCGCACGCGCGCUACACUGAUGCAUUCAACGAGUGUACCUUGGCCGAGAGGCCUGGGCAAUCUUUUGAACGUGCAUCGUGAUAGGGAUAGAUUAUUGCAAUUAUUAAUCUUGAACGAGGAAUUCCUAGUAAACGCAGUUCAUCAAACUGCAUUGAUUACGUCCCUGCCCUUUGUACACACCGCCCGUCGCACCUACUGAUUGGAUGGUCCGGUGAAGCCUCGGGAUUGUGGCGGUUGCCUUUAUUGGUGGCCGCCGCGAGAACUUGUCUAAACCUUAUCAUCUAGAGGAAGGUGAAGUCGUAACA